rnacentral:lncRNA from 1 species
AAAUGCAAUAACCCAGACCUCGUAAGUGCGGACGAAUGCCAUCUUUUUAAAGGAAAUGGUUGCAAAUGUGAAGUGCAAUGUGCUGAGCCAUUUUCAAAGGUUUUUCAUCUUGCCCAUCAUCUUCUGGACCUCAAAUACCUGCUGAAGACCAGAUUUUGCCUUAAUUUAGUGGACUUGAACUCUACUGAUGAUAUGAAGCAACCCUGCCCUACCUGGUCGAGAAGGAAAAUGAGUGACUCCUUUGGGUGGUGCACGUGUGAAAGACGGAUGACAGAUGGAUUCCUAGGCAGCUGCUCGAUGGCAAAU